UACGGAGGGUGCAAGCGUUAUCCGGAUUCACUGGGUUUAAAGGGAGCGUAGGUGGGUUGGUAAGUCAGUGGUGAAAUCCCCGAGCUUAACUUGGGAACUGCCAUUGAUACUAUCAGUCUUGAAUAUUGUGGAGGUUAGCGGAAUAUGUCAUGUAGCGGUGAAAUGCUUAGAUAUGACACAGAACACCGAUUGCGAAGGCAGCUCACUAAGCCAUAACUGACGCUGAUGCACGAAAGCGUGGGGAGCAAACAGG
rnacentral:rRNA from 1 species